rnacentral:rRNA from 1 species
AGAGUUUGAUCCUGGCUCAGAACGAACGCUGGCGGCGUGGAUAAGACAUGCAAGUCGAACGGGACAUUAUUUGUAGCAAUACUGAUGAUGUUCAGUGGCGAAAGGGUGCGUAACACGUGGGCAAUCUGCCGAGAAGUGGGGAAUAGCUCGCCGAAAGGCGAAUUAAUACCGCAUAUGACCUUGAGUAACCUUACUUGAGCGUCAAAGCCGGGGCAACCUGGCGCUUCCCGAUGAGCCCGCGGCCUAUCAGCUAGUUGGUGAGGUAACGGCUCACCAAGGCUAUGACGGGUAGCUGGUCUGAGAGGACGACCAGCCACACUGGAACUGAGACACGGUCCAGACACCUACGGGUGGCAGCAGUCGAGAAUUUUUCACAAUGGGGGAAACCCUGAUGGAGCGACGCCGCGUGGAGGAUGAAGGCCUUCGGGUUGUAAACUCCUGUCAUUGGUGAACAAGAUUGGCGGGGUAACUCCUUGCCAGUUUGCUAGUAGCCGAAGAGGAAGGGACGGCUAACUCUGUGCCAGCAGCCGCGGUAAUACAGAGGUCCCAAGCGUUGUUCGGAUUUAUUGGGCGUAAAGGGUGCGUAGGCGGCGGAGUAAGUUGGGUGUGAAAUCCCGGGGCUCAACCUCGGAAUUGCAUUCAAUACUGCUUCGCUUGAGCACUGGAGAGGAGGCUGGAAUUUACGGUGUAGCAGUGAAAUGCGUAGAUAUCGUAAGGAAGGCCGGUGGCGAAAGCGAGCCUCUGGACAGUUGCUGACGCUGAUGCACGAAGGCCAGGGGAGCAAACGGGAUUAGAUACCCCCGUAGUCC